rnacentral:rRNA from 1 species
CAGCAGCCGCGGUAAUACGUAGGGUGCGAGCGUUAAUCGGAAUUACUGGGCGUAAAGCGUGCGCAGGCGGUUCGUUAAGACAGAUGUGAAAUCCCCGAGCUUAACCUGGGAACUGCAUUUGUGACUGGCGAGCUAGAGUAUGGCAGAGGGGGGUAGAAUUCCACGUGUAGCAGUGAAAUGCGUAGAGAUGUGGAGGAAUACCGAUGGCGAAGGCAGCCCCCUGGGCCAAUACUGACGCUCAUGCACGAAAGCGUGGGGAGCAAACAGGAUUAGAUACCCCGGUAGUCCCUGUCUCUUAUAC